GACGAACGCUGGCGGCGUGCUUAACACAUGCAAGUCGAACGAUGAAGCCGGAGCUUGCUCUGGUGAAUUAGUGGCGAACGGGUGAGUAACACGUGAGUAACCUGCCCUUGACUCUGGGAUAACUGCGGGAAACUGUAGCUAAUACCGGAUACGACCCUCGGAGGCAUCUCCUGGGGGUGGAAAGAAUUUCGGUCAAGGAUGGACUCGCGGCCUAUCAGCUAGUUGGUGAGGUAAAGGCUCACCAAGGCGACGACGGGUAGCCGGCCUGAGAGGGUGACCGGCCCGACGGGGAGUGAGACACGGCCCAGACUCCUACGGGAGGCAGCAGUGGGGAAUAUUGCACAAUGGGCGCAAGCCUGAUGCAGCGACGCCGCGUGAGGGAUGACGGCCUUCGGGUUGUAAACCUCUUUCAGCACCGACGAAGCGCAAGUGACGGUAGGUGCAGAAGAAGGACCGGCCAACUACGUGUCAGCCGCCGCCGUAA
rnacentral:rRNA from 1 species